rnacentral:rRNA from 1 species
UAGAGAUCUUUCGGGAUCUUGAGAGCGGCGUACGGGUGCGGAACACGUGUGCAACCUGCCUUUAUCUGGGGGAUAGCCUUUCGAAAGGAAGAUUAAUACCCCAUAAUAUAUUGAAUGGCAUCAUUUGAUAUUGAAAACUCCGGUGGAUAGAGAUGGGCACGCGCAAGAUUAGAUAGUUGGUGAGGUAACGGCUCACCAAGUCAGCGAUCUUUAGGGGGCCUGAGAGGGUGAUCCCCCACACUGGUACUGAGACACGGACCAGACUCCUACGGGAGGCAGCAGUGAGGAAUAUUGGACAAUGGGUGAGAGCCUGAUCCAGCCAUCCCGCGUGAAGGACGACGGCCCUAUGGGUUGUAAACUUCUUUUGUAUAGGGAUAAACCUACCCUCGUGAGGGUAGCUGAAGGUACUAUACGAAUAAGCACCGGCUAACUCCGUGCCAGCAGCCGCGGUAAUACGGAGGGUGCAAGCGUUAUCCGGAUUUAUUGGGUUUAAAGGGUCCGUAGGCUGAUUUGUAAGUCAGUGGUGAAAUCUCACAGCUUAACUGUGAAACUGCCAUUGAUACUGCAAGUCUUGAGUGUUGUUGAAGUAGCUGGAAUAAGUAGUGUAGCGGUGAAAUGCAUAGAUAUUACUUAGAACACCAAUUGCGAAGGCAGGUUACUAAGCAACAACUGACGCUGAUGGACGAAAGCGUGGGGAGCGAACAGGAUUAGAUACCCUGGUAGUCCACGCCGUAAACGAUGCUAACUCGUUUUUGGGCUUUUGGGUUCAGAGACUAAGCGAAAGUGAUAAGUUAGCCACCUGGGGAGUACGAACGCAAGUUUGAAACUCAAAGGAAUUGACGGGGGCCCGCACAAGCGGUGGAUUAUGUGGUUUAAUUCGAUGAUACGCGAGGAACCUUACCAAGGCUUAAAUGGGAAAUGACAGGCUUAGAAAUAGGCUUUUCUUCGGACAUUUUUCAAGGUGCUGCAUGGUUGUCGUCAGCUCGUGCCGUGAGGUGUUAGGUUAAGUCCUGCAACGAGCGCAACCCCUGUCACUAGUUGCCAUCAUUAAGUUGGGGACUCUAGUGAGACUGCCUACGCAAGUAGAGAGGAAGGUGGGGAUGACGUCAAAUCAUCACGGCCCUUACGCCUUGGGCCACACACGUAAUACAAUGGCCGGUACAGAGGGCAGCUACACUGCGAAGUGAUGCAAAUCUCGAAAGCCGGUCUCAGUUCGGAUUGGAGUCUGCAACUCGACUCUAUGAAGCUGGAAUCGCUAGUAAUCGCGCAUCAGCCAUGGCGCGGUGAAUACGUUCCCGGGCCUUGUACACACCGCCCGUCAAGCCAUGGAAGUCUGGGGUACCUGAAGUCGG